rnacentral:rRNA from 1 species
GACGAACGCUGGCGGCGUGCUUAACACAUGCAAGUCGAACGGAAAGGCCCUGCUUUUGUGGGUUGCUCGAGUGGCGAACGGGUGAGUAACACGUGAGUAACCUGCCCUUGACUUUGAGAUAACUUCAGGAAACUGGGGCUAAUACCGGAUACGAGCUCCUGCUGCAUGGUGGGGGUUGGAAAGUUUCGGCGGUUGGGGAUGGACUCGCGGCUUAUCAGCUUGUUGGUGGGGUAGUGGCUUACCAAGGCUUUGACGGGUAGCCGGCCUGAGAGGGUGACCGGCCAAAUUGGGACUGAGAUACGGCCGGGACCCCUACGGGAGGCAGCAGUGGGGAAGAGUGCACAAUGGGCGGAAGCCUGAUGCAGCAACGCCGCGUGCGGGAUGACGGCCUUCGGGUUGGAAACCGCUUUCGCCUGUGACGAAGCGUGAGUGACGGUAAUGGGUAAAGAAGCACCGGCUAACUACGUG